UACGGAGGGAGCUAGCGUUGUUCGGAAUUACUGGGCGUAAAGCGCACGUAGGCGGCUUUGUAAGUUAGAGGUGAAAGCCUGGGGCUCAACUCCAGAACUGCCUUUAAAACUGCAUCGCUUGAAUCCAGGAGAGGUGAGUGGAAUUCCGAGUGUAGAGGUGAAAUUCGUAGAUAUUCGGAAGAGCACCAGUGGCGAAGGCGGCUCACUGGACUGGUAUUGACGCUGAGGUGCGAAAGCGUGGGGAGCAAACAGG
rnacentral:rRNA from 1 species